CCCUAGUUCCAAGAAACCAGCUCCUCCUGGGGAGGAGGGUGCCUGGGGUAAGAGGCUCAGAGACCAUCCUGACAUCACUGCAACUAUGAUUUCACCAGGAUAAUGUACUGCAACAUCAUUGUCAUAUGAAAUCUCUACUCUUGGAAAGAGCCCUAGAUUUGAACUACUGGAUAUGCAGAGAGAGAAGCAAAUAAAAGCUGGCUGUGAUAUGUGUGUUUCAUCUGGGUAAUAUCCUGGUAAGGCCAGAUUUAUUACCUUUAUGUCUUAAGGCUAGGCAAACCUCAUGGGGUCAGCCAUAAAGAAGAAUGAGGCAG
rnacentral:lncRNA from 1 species